UGAGAAUGUUUUUUUACAAAAAAAUUAAUGGGGAAAGAUGUAUUGUUUUUAUGUUGUGUUUUUGUUAGAUCUGAAAAAAAAUUGUUGACUCUUCAAAAUGUUUUUUUAUAUGUCACUGGCUAUGUGCAAUUCCAGAAUUGUAUGUGAUGUGAUUUGUAGACAUUUUUUCACAUUUUUGCCCAUUUCCAUCCCUGGGUAUUGAGAAAUCCGGUGUUGUUGAUUUUUUUCCACUAUCUCUAUGUCCUGUGCACAAAAUAAAGUUUGAAAGAAAUGCGAAGAUCUCAAACAUUUUGUACAGAGAGAAAACAUUGAAUCUAAUAGAUCAAUGCUACUACUAAUGCUUUUGUUUUGUAAUUAACCAAAUGAAAUGGCCACCGUUGAUUUGUGUAGAAUGAAGAAGUAUUACAAUUGUACCAUGUUUUGUUCUGUCAUUGGAGAAGUUCAUAGCAGAAGUGUUUUAUUUAUUGACUCAUUUCUUACAUUGUGAUAAAAAUGUUGCAAAAUAAAUUCAAUGAAACUC
rnacentral:misc_RNA from 1 species